rnacentral:rRNA from 1 species
UACGUAGGGUGCAAGCGUUAAUCGGAAUUACUGGGCGUAAAGCGUGCGCAGGCGGUGAUGUAAGACAGUUGUGAAAUCCCCGGGCUCAACCUGGGAACUGCAUCUGUGACUGCAUCGCUGGAGUGCGGCAGAGGGGGAUGGAAUUCCGCGUGUAGCAGUGAAAUGCGUAGAUAUGCGGAGGAACACCGAUGGCAAAGGCAAUCCCCUGGGCCUGCACUGACGCUCAUGCACGAAAGCGUGGGGAGCAAACAGG